UACGUAGGUGGCAAGCGUUGUCCGGAUUUAUUGGGUUUAAAGGGUGCGUAGGUGGUCUAUUAAGUCAGUGCUGAAAUAUCCCGGCUUAACCGGGAGGGUGGCAUUGAUACUGAUGGACUUGAGUAAAGUUGAGGUAGGCGGAAUUGACGGUGUAGCGGUGAAAUGCGUAGAGAUGUGGAGGAACACCAGUGGCGAAGGCGACUCUUUGGCCUGUAACUGACACUGAGGCGCGAAAGCGUGGGGAGCAAACAGG
rnacentral:rRNA from 1 species